ensembl:snRNA U1 U1 spliceosomal RNA
AUACUUACCUGGCAGGGGAGACACCAUGAUCACGCAAGUGGUUUUCCCAGGGCGAGGCUCAUCCAUUGCACUGGGGAUGUGCUGACCCCUGCGAUUUUCCCAAAUGCGGGAGACUGGACUGCAUAAUGUGGUGGGGGACUGCAUUGCGCUCUCCCCUU